rnacentral:rRNA from 1 species
UACGUAGGGACCGAGCGUUGUCCGGAAUCAUUGGGCGUAAAGAGCGUGUAGGCGGCCUUUUAAGUCCUGCGUGAAAUCCUGCGGCUCAACCGCAGACGGUCGUGGGAAACUGGAAGGCUAGAGUGCGGGAGAGGAGAGUGGAAUUCCCGGUGUAGCGGUGAAAUGCGCAGAUAUCGGGAAGAACACCAGUGGCGAAGGCGGCUCACUGGUCCGGUACUGACGCUGAGGUGCGAAAGCGUGGGGAGCAAACAGG